CUGGCAGGCAAAAAAUAUAAAAUUCCCAUUUUGAGCUCCAAAAAAAUAAAUACCCAUCUCAAAUCAACUUGCCAAAAAGAAAAAGAAAUCCACUUCCCCUAAAAAAUAGUGGUUAGUUUGAGGAUUAAAAAAGCUCUGAUCUUGAGAACUUGUCAGGAUACUUGGUAACAUCAAACAAUUGUUUAGUCAGUGGAUUGACAGACUAAUGAAUUUCUAUCAUCACCUCACUAUUUUACCCUCGAAAAUCCCCCGUAACAAAUAAAAGAAAAAGAAAUUAUAAAACUGAAGCAAAAUAAUCCUUUCAGCUAUAAGGAUCCUCACUAAUCACCACCUCAAAAACAAAGAAACCUGAAAAUUGACAGAAUCAUAACAAUAUUUGCAAAACAAAACGUCAAACAUAAUAAGUAUGUCACUCAUGUCAUAGGAUGGAUCAGAAUUCUGGCUUGGUUCU
rnacentral:misc_RNA from 1 species